UCCAGCUGUUUUGGGACUACAGCUCCCAUCAUCCCUGACGAUGGUCCUGUUAGCUAGGGAUGAUGGGAGUUGUAGUCCCAAAACAGCUGGA